AGCAGCAUAUCCAAAGGUUCCUACGAAUGAGGUCCAAUUGGAUGAAUCUGGAUUAAGAAACUUGGCUGUUCCAAAAUCUGAGACAUGAGCUACAUAUUCGGAAUCCAAAAGAACAUUCUUGCUUGAUAUAUCACGAUGAACAAUUCGAGGUGAGCAUUCAUGGUGCAUAUAGCACAGAGCAUGUGCUACAUGCUUUAACUACAUUAACCCUCUUAUACCAAUCAAAUGCCAUUGCUUGUCCAUCAUCCUUCAGGGUCUUCCCAACACUGCCAUUCUCCAGGAAUUCACACACCAAAAAUGAGAAUUGUGAAUGUGAACAAAACCCAUAUAACUUUACAAUGUUACGAUGUCGAAUUUCUGUCAAAGCUUGGAUCUCACAUGUGAAAGCUUUCAGAUUGAGCAUCUCUCCAUUUGGAACUGAAUGGAGUUUCUUCACAGCAACAACUUGACCUGUAGGCAGCACUGCUUUGUAAACACAUCCUUGCCCUCCAACACCAAUGAGAUGUUUGUCGUCAAAAUCUUCUGUGGCUUCAAUAAUAUUCUCAAAUACCAUUUUGCCAUCAAAACUCCAUAUUGCAAAUAUGUUAGGAGUUUGUAUACUUGUAGCCUGGUCUUCUUUGUUCGUUGAGGUUUGGCAUAAAUGAUACGAGACUCCGAAAGCAAAUAAUGCCAGUAUUAGAAUGCCCAAAGUAAGGGGUAAAAUUACUAUCAUUACUUUCUUCCUCAUAUGAUUAUGAGAUUUCCCACUUGAUGUUGAGCAAGGCUCCAAGCCAGUGACAUUGCCACACAAGCCUUUAUUAUUUCUCAAUGCUUCAAUUUUAGCAUUGUGGAAGGCUAGAAUGUUUGGAAGUGGACCCUCAAACUGGUUGUAUGAUAUAUCAAUAGAUGUCAAGCUCGUCAUAUCAUCGAAGCUAGAGAGAUUACCUGAAAGAUUAUUGUGAGAGAGAUUCAGUGUUUCUAAGCUUUUUAAUUCUCCAAACAUUGAAGGUAUUGUUCCUCUCAAUGAAUUUCCACCAAGAUCAAGACUCGUAAGAGAUUUCAGUUUGCCAAGCUCUGAAGGAAUAUUUCCCUGAAAAUUAUUUUGGCUCAGACUCAUGUUCAAUAAAUUGAGCAAAUUUCCUAGUUGUUUUGGGAUUAAGCCAGACAACUUAUUUGAUCCAAGCUUCAAAAUUUGAAGUUUCUGCAUUGAUGCUAUUUCUUUGGGAACAUUUCCUGUAAGAUUAUUGUUGUCGAGUGAGAGAUCAAACAAGGGCAAGUUACAUAAAUCAUGUGGAAUGUUUCCUGUAAGAUGGUUUGAGAACAGGUGAAGUCGUUGUAAUUUGGUUGCCCCAGCUAGUUCUGGUGGUAUCACACCUGAUAAAUUAUUGUUGGAGAUCAUGAGGCUUGUGAGGCUACGAAACUUUCCCCAGUUAGGUGAUAGUUGACCAUAAAAGUUAUUGUCACUCAAUUCGAUGUAGUCCAAAUUUGGAAGUACACCAAAAGCAUCUGUUAUAUCCCCAGUUAGCUGGUUUCGCUGAAGCCUGACUCUUAUAAGACUGGAGCAAUUCUUCAAACUCACUGGAAUUGGGCCUAUGAAGUUGUUAUUAGCAGCGGUAAAAUUUUUCAACGUUCCACCAAUGCAAAUGUUUUGAGGUAAAUGGCCUAUAAAAUUAUUGUAAGCUAGCUGCAAACUUUCCAGAGCAGUAAGCAUGCUCAUUUCUAUUGGAAUCUUGCCACCAAGUUCAUUUCCAAAAAAAUAUAAUUCCCUGACAUUUGAUAAAUUUCCAAUAGUUGAAGGAAUUGAUCCAGUGAGUUCAUUUAAGGAUAUAGAUAAUACACUAAGCUUUGACAAAUUUCCAAUGGUGAAAGGAAUGGACCCAGAGAGUUUAUUUUCAUCAAGGACCAAGAAGUCCAAAUGGACCAAGUUGCCUAUGGAAGCUGGGAUUGGUCCAGUGAAUUCAUUCAAGGAUAAAGAUAAUACACUAAGCUUUGACAAAUUUCCAAUGGUGAAAGGAAUUGACCCAGAGAGUUUAUUUUCAUGAAGGAGCAUGGAGUCCAAAUUGACCAAGUUGCCUAUGGAAGCUGGGAUUGGUCCAGUGAGUUCAUUAGAGUGUAUAGAUAAUUCACUAAGCUUUGACAAAUUUUCAAUGGUGAAAGGUAUGGACCCAGAGAGUUUAUUUUUAUGAAGGUGCAUGGUGUCCAAAUUGACCAAGUUGCCUAUGGAAGCUGGGAUUGGUCCAGUGAGUUCAUUCAAGGGUAUAGAUAAUACACUAAGUUUUGACAAAUUUCCAAUGGUGAAAGGAAUGGACCCAGAGAGUUUAUUUUCAUCAAGGAACAAGAAGUCCAAAUGGACCAAGUUGCCUAUGGAAGCUGGGAUUGGUCCAGUGAAUUCAUUCAAGGAUAAAGAUAAUACACUAAGCUUUGACAAAUUUCCAAUGGUGAAAGGAAUGGACCCAGAGAAUUUAUUUCCAUCAAGGAGCAUGUAGUCCAAAUUGACCAAGUUGCCUAUGGAAGCUGGGAUUGGUCCAGUAAGUUCAUUCAAGGAUAUAUAUAAAUCACUAAGCUUUGACAAAUUUCCAAUGGUGAAAGGUAUGGACCCAGAGAGUUUAUUUUUAUGAAGGUGCAUGGAGUCCAAAUUGACCAAGUUGCCUAUGGAAGCUGGGAUUGGUCCAGUGAGUUCAUUAAAGGAUAUAGAUAAUACACUAAGCUUUGACAAAUUUCCAAUGGUGAAAGGAAUGAUACCAGAGAGAUCAUUAUCAGAAAGAUUAAGAAACAAGAGUUUGGAGAGAUUACCAAUGGUAUUGGGAAUGCUACCAAAGAGGUUAUUAGUGGACAAGUCAAGAGUGUUGAGAUUGGAUAAGGAACCAAUUUGAGGAGGAAUAGUUCCAUUCAAGGAGUUGAGACUCAUAUUUAGAGUGAGAAUGUUUGGAAGUAAUGAGAAGUUGAGAUUUUGAAGCGUACCUCUUAAUCCAACAUUUGUAAGAUUUAUGUUGGAAACAGAAUUGAACUCAUCACAUGCAAUUCCGAGCCAAAUGCAAGGAUUAUUGCCACUCCAUGAAGAGAGAGAAGCAUGACUUUGGUUGUCAAGGCUGGAUUUCCACUUCAACAAAGCAUUUGCUUCUGAAGCAAUCUCAGAAGAAGCAGCAAAUGCACAGAAGUACAUCACAAGAAGCAGCAAAAGUGGUUGGAGCUUCAUGGACAGAAGCGUUGGAAUUAUGAACACCAUGAGGAAAUUUUGAGGAAGGAUUCAAUCACAGAUUGUCUGAUACAAUCAAAUGCUGGAGAAGUACUUACAAGCAAUUCAUGCGAUAUGCACACUUAUAUGCAAAACAUCGUGAACCACGAACCAGAGUCAAGAGAUAUUAUAUAACUAAUUUAUGGGAUAUUAACCUUGAGAAACUUUAAAUAAAAUAUUUAUAACUAAUUUUUAUUUCUAAUGAACAUAAUAGGACCUUUUUCAGGGCAACAUAAUAGAACUUUAAAUUAAAUAUAAUUAUUAUUUUCUGGCAUUGUGAUUAUGGGAUCUUAAUAAUAAGCUUUAUAUAUUAUGUCUUAAAAAAUGCUGCUAAAAAAUAUAUAUAAGUUUUGUAAAAAAAAAUUACUGUAAUAAAGUUGUAUUAUUAAAUAUAUAAUUUAGAAAAAAAAAUAUUAAUUUGUUGCAGUCACUUAUACAUUUUAAUUAUAUUAAAUCAUUUAAAUGUUAUAAUAUUGAAAACUAAUUAGGAUGAAGACUGAAGAGAAGCGAUAAAUUCAUAAUAUGGAAGUAAUUAACGUGAGAAAGAAAAUAUCAAACAAGACAGCCCAUCAGUGGGGUCAAUAGAAGUCUAGCUUGGUAUGUUGUACGCGUUUACUUUACAAAACUACAAAAUUGUUACUGUUAGCAAGCAGAAAUUUCCGUACUGUAAUAAUGCAUGGGCAAAUUUCAAACUUCCACAUAACCAUUUAUGUAACACUGUAUUUUUUUUUUAGGUAAAAUUAUAAAUUUGGUCUCUUACUUUAUUUCUAGUUUUUAGAUUUGAUCUCUGAGUUUUUAAAUUUAUGAAUUUGGUCUUUUUAUGUUGUAAAAUCGUGUAAUGUUGGUAUCAAGUUACAAUUAGACGUUGACGGUUACAAAGAAAUAUUGACUAUCACGUGUCAUGUUGUUCUUAUUGGAUGAUGACUAUCACAUGUCAUGAUUUGAAACUAUCAAAAGAAAAGAAUAAAGGUUUUUCAAUUUUAUCCAAAAAAAGGAGGGAAUGCACCCUUUUUUGAAAAAAUUUCCAAGUAACUGUUUUACGCCUUUGAGCACGUAUAGAUCCUUUGAUUAUGUCUCGCCAAAAAUCCAAUUGUUGGGAAUAACGUAUUAAAGCCAAUUCAUUUUUUUUUUCAGCGUUAUCAGUAUCUCUUGUAGGAUUAUAAGUAUCGUACUUCUUACAAAAAUUAGAUUUAUUAGUCAAAAUGACUACACGUUUGGCUUUUCUAGAACGAAUUUGAUAAUUUUCUGCUUCAUUUUUUCCCUCCCGUUGUUCCAAUUCGUCAAUAAAUUUGUAUGACCAUCGAGGAACUUUUUUACGGAUUUUGUUUAUUCUAAUACACUUUGUUCUAUUUCCAUUUACUAUUGUUUUUUCAUUCAAAUCAGUUCUAAUUGCAUCAAAUAACUUUGGCGACUUACCCAUUCAAUGACUUUGGCACCGGACGUUCCCAAACUGGAAUGUGUAUUAUCGAUAUAGGGGAUCUUUCAAUUGAGAAGAUCCAUCGACCUUAGACGAAGAGAAAGAAAGGUCUAUCUAUUUUUUUGUUUUAGUUAUUCAGUUAAACCAAUGAUUCGUUAUUGGAGCAGAUAGCAACAACCAUCUCAUCUGGGAAAAGCCAUCUUUUUCUCAACAAUGUCUUUGUCAUUUGAUCCAAUAGCGCUUCGUUAGAUAGGAACAAAUUUGAUAAAUAUUGAUAACUCUCAGAUAGAGUAUUAGAACGGAAAAAUCCAUUAGAUAAUGAACUAUUGAUUCUAAGCCAUCUUUGACAAUGAAUCAACAAUUCAAAAUGAUUUUCUUGCGUAUUCUUGAUAAACCAGUGUUUAUAUAUAGAUGUAGGAAGAUCUGUUUGGGAAGUAGUAAGAAGUUCCCUUGACAUCUCUUCAUCUGUGAAGAAUUGUCGAUGUGAAAACACAGAGACAAAAGGGUGAUCUUUGAAUAGGAAAAAGAGUGGAUCCGCGGGGUCCCAAAUGAAUUGGCUUAUUCGAAAAAAGCCUUGUUCUUUGGAAGAUCUAUCUCGUGUCUGGUACUGCAUGGUUCCACCCUGCAAGAACUCUGAAUCAUUCUCUUGAAGCUCAUCCUCUUCAUCAUAAAUGAUCCGCUUGUCCCGAAAUGACCUGGCCCAAUAGGGAAAUCCCAAUUCAUUGGGCCUUUCAAUACAAUAAAAUAGAAAGCCCCAAGGGCUCCAUAUUCUAAGAGCCCAAACGAUGUGAUUGAAAAAAUCCUCCUCUAUCUGUUGUGGGUCGAGGACUCCCCCCCCCCCUUCUUCAAACUCCGAUUCAUAUUUUUCAUAGAGAAAUCUUUGAUCAACGAUAGAAUAAGAUCCAUUUUGAAUCAUAUUUAAGAGAUUCCUUGGUUCGGACCGAAGAAGCAAUGUCACUCGAUCCUUAUCAAACUGACUGCAAUCUUUUUCUAUAUGUGAGGAUCCCACCAGAGCGCCUUCUACUUCUAAUAGGCCAUGAACUAGAUCAGAAUUAUUCUCAACGAGUCCAUAAGAUGUGAUCCCAUUUUUUUCAUCAGGUCCGGGUAGAGACCAAAGGUCUUGAGCGACCGAUCCGGCAGAACAACUCAAAGGGUAAAGAAGUAUCGUAAAUUUCUUCAUACUCGUUCCAAGUUCGAAGUACCAUUUGUACAAAUAAGAAUCCCCCCCCCCCCCCGUCACAUGAUUUCUUCUUCAUAUUGGUCAAUGAAAAUAACAAUAUAUUUCAUAUUUCAUAGAGUUUACAUCUAAUCAGAACGUAACACGUGACAGUCAUCAUCCAAUAGUAACGUGACAUGUGACAAUCAACGUCACUGGCUCACGGUCAACAUUCAAUUGUGGCAUGAGGGACCAACAUUGCACGAUUUUACUAAAUAAGAGAGUCAAAUUCAUGAAUUAAAAAAUUGGGAGACCAAAUCCGAAUAGGAAAUAAAAUGGGAGACCAAUUUUAUAAUUUUGCCUUUUUUUAACAACUUUUUUAAUUAAAAUAUAAAAGAAAUUUAAUUUAUGCUAUAAAUCAUUGAGUUUUAAAAAUAUAAUAAGUUUAAUUAUGUGUUUUAAGUGUAAUUAAGAGUUGCACUUUUGAUACAAGUGGACGGGAGUUACUAUAGACCUCAUGUAAAUUGUUAUAGAUUCCUAACUAUCAAAGUGGUUAAGAAUUUUUUAUUUAUUUUAGAAUUACUCUCAUUGAAUAAAAUAUACAUGAUAAUUCCAUUAUAUAUUAUUUUUCACAUCCUUUUGUUGCAAGAGAAGCGUGAUUCUAUUAUUAUAUUUUUUGGCACCUCCAUUAAUAUAGUCAUUCCUCUUAAUUUAUGUUUUUUCUUUUACAUUGACAAGGUUCUAACUUUAGAACUAUUAUUGGUUAAACAAAAUAAUACCCAAGCCAAUUAAUUCAAGCACUUGACGCUAGUAAUCAUUAAUUUUACUAAUAAUUUUUUUUCAAAAAAAAUUAUUAGUCACAUAAGAUGCUCUUACAAAAAAUAAUACAGUAGUGACAUUUUACUAAAGAUUUUAGUUUAUAUAUUCAUAAAAAUAUAAUAAUAAUAUUUAUUUAUAUUUGUUGAUAUUUUUUAAAUGUUACUAAAAGUUUUUAGUAAUAUUUUACUAAAUGUUAAAUAGAAAAUAUUACUAAUUGUCACUGUGUAGUAGUGAAUUAUAUUUUAGAUUAUUAAAAUUAACAGUAUAACUUAUAAAAUUAAUUAUUAUGAUUAUAAAUAAAGUAUUACAUAUUUAAAAUAUAUUUUGAUUAUUAUUUUAGCAAAUUAGUAUUCUAAAAUAAUAAUUACAAAUGAUAUACGUAUAUAUAAGUAAAAUCAAAUUAAACACAAAUAUUAAUGUAGUAUUUAGUUAGUGUUAUUAAUCAUAUUUAUAUAAAUAUUUAAAUAAUCUAGCAUUUUUCUUAUAUAAUAUUCAUUAUUAUAUUUGUUAAAAUCAUACAUGAUAAAUUUUAAUAAUAUUAUUAAAUAUAAUAUGUUGAUUGAAUUUAAUAAAUAUAAUGUUAAUAUAUGGAUAAUAGGCAUUCAAAUUUUUAAAUGAAUUUAUUUAUAUAAAAGUUAUUAUUAAAUAAAAUGAAAUUACUAAAAUAUACAUUUUAAAGAAUAUUUGUUUAGUAAGAUGUGUUAAUCCUAAAUGUUUAUAUGNNNNNNNNNNNNNNNNNNNNNNNNNNNNNNNNNNNNNNNNNNNNNNNNNNNNNNNNNNNNNNNNNNNNNNNNNNNNNNNNNNNNNNNNNNNNNNNNNNNNUACUAAAAUAUACAUUUAAAGAAUAUUGUUUAGUAAGAUGUGUUAAUCCUAAAUGUUUAUAUGUAGGAAAACGAUUUAUUUAGUAGAGAAACUCAUAUUUAAUUUUUUUAUGUGUAAAAUUUUUUAUUUCAAUGAUAGAUAUGGAUAAUGAAUAAAAUUAAUCUUUGGAUUAGUAGUUGGAAGAAAUCCAUAUUCUUUGAACCGAUAAAAAAAAAAGUAUAUUAAAUUAUAUAUUUUAUCAUAAGGGAUGAGGAGCAAAAGUGAGUUUUUUUUCUUAAAUACACCUUUUCUUUUUUGUUUUUUUUUUAAUCUAUACUACUUUAUAAUUUAAUUUCCAAUAUACAUUACUUACUUGAUACUUUCUCUCUCCUUUUUGUUUUUUAAUUUAAAAUAUUAUAAAAUAUAAAUAUUAUAUUAUAUAAUUUUUUAAUUGGUUUUAAAAUUACUUAUUUAUUAAAUUAAAUUAUAUAUAUAUAUAUAUUUUAAUUUUUUUAAAGAAAAUGAUAUUAUUAAAUAUAAUUAUUUUUGUUUUAUUAUUUAAUUUACUUAACAUAUUUUUUAGGUGAAUAUUUUUAUUUAAAAUCUGAAUUUUAUAAUAUAAGUAUUUUUAAUAUAAUUAUAUUAUUAAAUAUAAUUAGUUUGUUUAUGUCAUUAGAUUUAAUUAAAAAAUGAGAAGACUUUUUGUUUAACCGUUUAUUCAUAGAAGACCAUUAUAUUGUAUUAUCAUACUUAAACAAUUACAUUUGGUUAAGGAAAAAUUAAAGAUAGAGAUAUGUUAGGACAAUUGUUUCUGUUAUAAGCAUAUUGUUGUUGUAAAAUUCAUAUUUUUUUUCUACUUUCUCGUUCGUUCAAAGUUAAAAUGGGACUAUCCUCUAUCGUCCUCUUUCUUUUAUUUUUCAUAUUUUAAUCUUUUGAAGUCAUAGAUAAUAAAAAUAUUUAUUUUUCAUAUUUAUUUAAUAGUUAUCUUUGACUUAAAUGAUAAGAAAAAUAAAAGAAAGAGGACGGCAAAGGAUAGUCCCGUUUUAAAAUGAAUUUAUUUAUAUAAAAAUUAUUAUUAAAUAAAAUGCAAUUACUAAAAUAUACAUUUUAAAGAAUAUUUGUUUAAUAAGAUGUGUUAAUCUUAAAUGUUUAUAUGUAGGAGAAUGAUUUAUUUAAUAAAAAUUCAUAUUUGAUUUUUUUAUGUGUAAAUUUUUUUGUUUCAAUGACAGACAUGGAUAAUGAAUAAAAUUAAUCUUUGGAUUAGCAGUUAGAAGAAAUCCAUAUUCUUUGAACCGAUAAAAAAAUAUGUAUUAAAUUAUAAAUUUUAUCAUAAGGGAUGAGGAGUAAAAGUGAGUUUUUUUUUUUUUGUAAAUACACCUUUUUCCUCUUUUUUUUUUCAAUCUACACUACUUUAUAAUUUAAUUCCUAAUAUAUAUUACUUACUUCAUACUUUCUCUCUCCUUUUUUUUUAUUUAAAAUAUUAUAAAAUUUAAAUAUUAUAUUAUAUAAUUUUUUAAUUGGUUUUAAAAUUACUUAUUUAUUAAAUUAAAUUAAAUAUAUAUUUUUAAUUUUUUUAAAAGAAAAUGAUAUUAUUAAAUAUAAUUAUUUUUGUUUUAUAAUUUAAUUUACUUAACAUAUUUUUUAGGUGAAUAUUUUUAUUUAAAAUCUGAAUUUUUUAAUAUAAUUAUUUUUAAUAUAAUUAUAUUAUUAAAUAUAAUUAAUUUGUCUAUGUCAUUAGAUUUAAUUAAAAAAUGAGAAAACCCAAGAUUGAAUAGUUUAUUCAUAGAAGAAUAUUAUAUUACAUUAUCAUACUUAAACAAUUACAUUUGACUAAGGAAAAAUUAAAGAUGAAAAUAUGUUAGAAUAAUUGUUUCUGUUAUAAUCAUGUUAAUGUAAAAUUCACAUUUUUUUCUACUUUCUUUUUCAGAGUUAAAAUCGGACUAUCCUUUGCCAUCUUUUUUUUAUUUAUUUUAAUCUUUUACAAGACAUAAAUAAUAAAAAUAUCAAUUCUUAUCACUUAAGUCAAAGAUAACUGUUAGAUAAAUAUUUUUAAAGAUAUUCUUAAUAUAUUUUUAAAGAUAUCUUCAAUAUAACCGUUAUUACUCUUUGAAAUUUUAUGUCUAUGGUAUAAGAUACAUAUAUCAAUUAUUUUUUUACUGUGUUUUUUAGUUUAAUUUAAUAUUACUAACUAAUUUUUUUAUUUUUUUAAUUAACGAACAUAACAAAAAAAAUAUCAACAGCGCAUAAAUUUAAUUACAAAAGUACAUAUAAACUAACUAAAAAAUUGUAAUAUAAUUUUAUUAAAUUUUUUUUAUUUUUCUUUAUCUGUAUAUUUUUCUUUAAAAAAAUAAAACACAAAAUUAUAAAAUUUAAUUUAAUAAAUAAGUAAUUUUAAAACCAAUUAAAAAAAUUAUAUAAUAUAAUAUUUAUAUAAUAAUAUUUUAAAUUAAAAAAACAAAAAAAGAGAGAAAAACUCCCAAGUAAUGUAUAUUAGUAAAAAGUAAGAAAAAAAGGUAUAUUUACUGGAAAAAAACCCGCACAAAGUGGAAUACUUAGACGAUCUCUUAAAAGAGAAUAGUAUAAUAUAUUUUAUAUUUUACAUAAGUUGGGAGAAUGAAGUAUAAUACCUGCCUUUUUAAGGGAAAAGAGAGUGUAAUUUCCUCUCGAAGAAUAUGAUACCAUUUAUGAAGUCAAUGCAAGUCUUGACUGGUUGUCUUGCAUGAUGCAUACGUUGCUAAAUUUCAAACUUCUUACGACCCGCAUAUAAAAAAACCCAAGCAUGUCCACUCCAUCCAGGAACAGCCCUAAUAAGUAAUAACCCUUAGGGAGGGUUACAUGAUCACGAUUUGAUUUGAUAUGCUUCUAGACUAAUAGAUUUUGAGUUAUUUACAAUACUACCCCUUCCAUUCCAUUUUGAGGAGUCAAAAUCAGAUUUCAAAUGCCCCUUCCAUUCCAUUUUGAGUUAUUUACAAUACUACCCUACUACCACCGUUGACUGCACUAGCCAUCAACACGGUGAGACUGACUUUACUUAUGGCCCAUUCGGUAUUUUUCUAUUUGCUCUGCUGAGCUCACACGCUUGCUAAAAUCAUAUAAAAAAACAAAACAUGAACAGUGAUUCAUAUAAAAAAAAAAUAAACAUGAACCAUGCUCAUGUUGUGAUAAUAUAAAGUGGACAGUGGUCCCGAUUAGAGUACCAAAUUCCUUCGUAUUUUAAUUUUUGUUUUGUUGGUGGAUUUGUAUUUUUUAUUGACGAUGAUUAGAGAUUUAACGCGUAUUUAGAUUAAUGAUUUAUUUUAUGAAAAUGAAUCUUUUUUUAAAUAAAAAAAAAAUUUGAACCGACUAUAGAUAAAGUAUUUAAUUUGAGGUGACUUCUUAUAGGAUUAUGCAUAUCCUGAAAAUAGAGAGACGACAUAUUUUCAUGGGAAUGCGAUAAGCGUUGGCGUUGUCUAAUGUAUAUAAAAAGCUUUAAAAACUGAAAGAUGGGGAUAGGUUACGCUACGCAUUUCCAUCCCCAUGUUAAUGUCAUUGUCACAUGCCAUUACCUGCCUGCGCAAGCGUCAAGCUUAAAAAUUAAAAUGUAUGUUUGCCUAAAACGUAAAUAGAGUUGGUGAUUAAUAUAUGUUUAACUAACUGAUUGGACGAUUCUUCCUUUUUGUUUAAUGGAAUUUAUAUAGUAAGAAGUCUUGUUAGAUAGAAUUUUUUUCCAAUCAAUUUUUUUAUUGUUAAUAUGAUAAAUAAGUACUACUACUAUAAAGAGUAUUACAUACUUAAUCGUUGAUCAUGAAAUAUUGUUGGUUGAAUUUUGUGAAUUGUGUAAAAGUAAGAUAUUUUAAAUUCGAGAGUCUAAGAGUUUUAUAAAAUUUUCUUUGAUGGAAAAAAAUAUAAAUAAAAAAUCCUAAUGAAUUAAACUGGGUUCAUAAAUUUAAGAAAUAGGGAGAAUUUUUUAUUUCUCUCAAUAUUUUUUCAAUGUUUAAUGUGUUUAAAUUAAGAUUGAAUAGUUGGAUAUUAAUGUAAAACAGCAAACACGUUAGAGUAAAAUAUCCUUUUGUACUUCAUUCACGCUCUAUCAUCCUAUUUAGUUAAAGUACUAUGAGGCAAGGGUUGAAAUUAAUAUAUAAUUUAAUUAAUUUAUUAAAACGACUCAUACAAAUUUUUUUAAUGUUAUAUCAUUGCAUGCAUUAGAUUUUACUAAAAGCAAAUUUAGUCUUCUUAAUUUUUUUGUUAACAUUAUUAAUUAAUUUUUUCAAAUAAUUAUAAAAUUUUAAUGUCUGUAUACACGCACAUUUUAUUAGUAGUGAAUUUUAUUAUAAUUAAAUUAAUAAUAGAUUUUUACAUAUGUAUUCAUGUGAAAAGUUAUGCGCGCGUUACAUUUAUCAAAAUUAAUAAAUAUAGUAUUUAGAUUUAAUAAUAGAGGAUAUUAUGAAAAUUAAUCAUAUAUUAUUUUUCAUGACAAAUUUUUACCCAUUGCUGAAGUACUAGAUUUCCACCCUUAAUUACAAUGUACGGGUAUAAAUGAGUUCAAAAUACUCCAAUUCAAAAUUUGAGUCAACAUUUCAUUUCCAAAUUAACAUAAUAUUGUUUUCAUAAUUAAGUCACUUUAUUAGCUUAUUUAUUUUCGUGUUUUUAGUUCUACACCACUCUCUAUUUAAUGUUUGUAACCUAAAAAAUUAUCUAUUUAAAGUGAGUUUUUUUUAUCGGCAAUAUUAAGACAAAAUCAAAACCGCGAUUUUUAUCAUGGUUCCUUUCUCUCUUCCCUUCUAUUUAAGGUGGGUAUGCUUAGUAAUUAUAGAACAUAAAGCAAACAUAUACUAUUUAGUGGGUUAAAGUUGUUAUUUUUUAUUUGAAAAGAAAAAAGCAAUUACUAAUAAUAAGUAAUGUAUAUACAUCUUUCAAUUGGACAAACAUUAAAUUAAACUUAAAGUGAAUUACUUAUGCACUUUAAUUUCAAGAAAUUAAGCUCAAUUUCAAUGAAAUUUAAUAAUUUGAUACUUUGUCUUUUUAAGAGAAAAUUAACGUCCAGUAUACUGACACAAACCUGAGUUGCAAAUUAAGUUAUAAAAACUUUAUUUUCGAUGGGUACUUUAAAAAAAAACAGGUGAAAUAUAUACCGUAGUAUGACUUCAAGAAUAUGUAUAAUAGUUAAAUCGAUACCAAGGUUAGGUAGAUUUCUUGUGAAUGAAUCCUGCAAACAUAUCAUUAUCAACGCGAGUCGUGUUAGAAUAGCCUCAAAAUUCAAUCAUCCACUUGAAAAUUUGACCACUAAGACAAAUUCUCACUUCUCUGUGUAUUUUUUUUUCCUAACCUAACAUUUUUUCCUAAUCUAACAUGAUGUUAGAAUAUGUAACGCGAAUAAUAUUAAAGAUGAUUAAAAUAAAUAAAUACAUAAAUAUGUAAAAGCAUACAUAUUAUUACAUCAGAAGUUUUAUAGGAGUACAUAGUAUACAACAAUAUACAUAUUGGAUCAAGCUCCAUGCGUCCUUAAUUUGCACGGUUAAAAGUUUACAAUGUGAAAAGGAUUCAUACCUUGUAAUAUAAUAAAGAAUAAAUAACACAAAAUAUAUAAGGAAAAACAUACAAAGUAUAUAAAUUAACAAAUAUUAUAUUAAUUUUUUAAAAAAUAAUUCUUCAUAGAAAGUUAAUUUUUAUAUUUAAAUAAUUUAAUUUUUCUUCAUUACACUUGAAAUGAAUGCAAAUAACUUCCGAUCCUAAACAAAGAUUAAAUAUAAGAUGUAACGUGAAUAAUAUUAAAGAUGAUUAAAGAAAAUAAAUAUGUAAAAGUAUACAUUAUUACAUGGAAUUGAGCAAAUUAAAGCAAUCUAAAUAUUUUUCACUAAUCAGUAAAAUGGUACUUAAACUGAAGUUCUGUAAUGCAAAGAAUUAUUCAUUUUAAAUCCACACUUAAAUCAGUUUUCCUUGUAAGGUAGUGCAUGCAAUUCAAAUAUUAUAGAAUGCUCCAAUCAUAUAAGAUUGCUUCAAUCAUAAGGUGAUCAGUCAAUGUCCCUCUGUUUUGCGAGAAUACUCCAAUCAUAUAAGAUUAAUAUAGACUUAAAUAAACACUCAAAUCGAGUGUAUUUACCCCCAAUGCUUAGAUUCCGAAGAAUUUAUUAAGGUCUUACCUUUCUGAUUCAGGUCCAACCCCUAAAAUAAAUUUUACAUGCAAAUACUACUCAUGAAUUAUGCAAUAUCCAGGGUCUCACACUUAUUUUCAAAAUACAUUUAACACAAUGCAUUACAAUUUAACUCCUCAGGUUCUUAACUUGGAACCGUACACUCUUCCUUUAACACCUCACGCAUUGCACUACAAUUUAACACCUCAAGUUCCUAACUUGAAAUCUCUAUACUUUCCUUUUAACACCCUUCACAUUACACUACAAUUUAACAUAUCAGGUUUCUAACUUGAAACCCUACACUUUUCUUUUAAAAUCUCGCGCAUAAAUAUUUUUCUCAAGGUAAUCACCAAUUAGGUGAUUGUAUAAUCCACAACUCAAAACACUACUAAUAUCACAUUAAGUAUUAAUCACACUUAUUCAGAAGCUAAUAGGCCAAUUAUAUUAUAAAAUAAUUAAUGUCGCUAUAUAUAACACUAAAAUUUAUAAUGUAUAUUUAAUGCAUAUAUAAAUUUAAAUAACAAAUUUAGUGACAAUUAAAUUUGAUCUAAUAGUUAAUUUAUUUACAUAUAUGAAUUAUUGUUGUGACACCCUCUACCCCUCACAUAUAUACUAAUAAGGAAUAAAAAAAAUCAAAUAUUAAUUAAAAGUAUUUUUUUAUAACAUUUUUUUUACAAGUCUUUCAAAGGGGAAAAAGGCUCACAUUCAUUUUCUUCUACAUAUUUAAACUUGUCCAAAUAAAUAAUAAAGUAUUCUCGACUCAAACAAGGUCGUCUAAGCUUCAUACAAUUAAUAUAGAACCUAUAUCUUAAUGUCACAUCCUAUCAAAGCGUUGUGUUCUCGUGUCCUCUAGCAUGAGGUUCUUCAUAGUCAUCCACCUAUUCAUAUUCUCCCCCGAACACAAGUUCAAGAUCAUCACAGGAUCCAAACACAACAACACACAGGGAGUGAGUUAUCACAUUCCUAGCUAAUAGAGAAACAAGACAAUUAAAUAUACAUAUUAUAUAAAUGAGAUACCACUUGCUUAAACAUAGCUCACGUAAUUUCACCACUUCGUCAUUCAAAAUUCAUUUUUCAAUUAUCAAUCACAUUACACAAGAAUCUCACACUUCGAUCAAGAUAUAAUAACACAUCAAUUAGCAAGCAUAUGCAAUAGUUAUGCUAAGACUCAAUCUUAUAUGCAAUGUGGUACCAUGUCAGUGAAAAAUCACCCUAGGGCGCUUAGGAGUACAUAACAAGACACACCACACAAUGAGUUUGUCAGGUUACUCUCACUAAGUAAGAUCAUAGGGAGACCAGUCAGGGUCACGAUGUUUUGCAAGAAUGCUCCAACCAUAUGGGAUCAGCAUAGACUUAAAGGAGCACUCAAACCCGGUGACCCCCAAGGCCUACACUCUGAAGAGUCCGUUAGGGCCUCUCCCUCCUGAUUCAGGUCCAACCCCUAAAAUAAUUUUUUUCAUGCAGACAUUGCUCAUGAAUUAUACAAUACCCACGACCUUACACUCGUGUUUUAAACACGUUCAACACAAUUGCGCCACGAUUUAACACUGGUUCCUAAAUAGGAGACCUACAUUUUCUCUUUAACACUGUGCAUCAACGCUUUUCUCAAGAUAACGCUGGUCGGGUUAUUGUACAAUUCAUAGCUUACAACACAAGUAAUUUCACAUCAAGUGUUAACUAUACACUUAUCUACAACUAGAACUCAUUCACAAUUUCACAUCUCAUAGUAUCACAAUCCACCAUCACAUGUUUACACGUAUCUCACAAAUUAACACAUGUUGAACUUUACACUUAUACUCAAUCUCAAUAACAAUAUUAUAAUCUCAAAGCAACAUGUUAUUCUACAAUUCAUCACAUACUCACAAUUUGAAUCAUCAUUUCAUAUCAUCAAUAUAACAAUUUAUAUAAAAGACUAUCACAACAUGAGGACUAAAACCCCUCAAAUAAUACUAUACAAUUAUAUCAAAAUCAUAGGUCGAAAUAUACAAAUACCAAGAGCACAAUUUAUCAAGCAAUUUUCAUUAGGACAUCAAUAUUUUAUUUAUAAUCAUAAAGGAAAAGUUGCAAUUUAAUAAACAUCCCAAAAUAAAACUCUAAUUUAAUCCUCUAAGGAUCCCUACACAUGUUCAUUCUAACCCCCAAUUGUGAUAAACUCAUCCCUUACCUCUAAGCGGAUUCACGUGUCUUCCCAUAGCGAUAGCGUCAUCUCUAGGGGUUCCCUAAGAUUUCUCCAAUUUUUCCUCCAAUUGCUCCGAUAGAGUACCAAACGUCAGAGAAACAGAGAAGGGAUUAAAGCCUCCAUUUGGACUAUCUUCAUGCGAUUCGUUUUUCUCCCUCCAAGAACAUUAUCUCGUAAAUCCCAACGGUCAAAGCGUGCAAAAUUGAAUUUCGAACAACAUAUCCAAAUUUCAUGACAAUCCAACGGUUAACGAAACCGGGAUCGUAGUUUUACCAAGACAACUCUGGAUUUCUGCGAGAAAGAAAAAUGCUACAAUGCGAGGGGUAUCUUAGCUCAGACGUGAUAUCAAAAUUCGCAACGGUGAGAAUUCUCGGAAAUGGGUUGCGAACAUGCUGUUUAAAUUUCACGACGACCCAACGGUGAAUGAAUCCGAGAUCGUCAUUUUUCUGAGACAGGUUUGGUGGCCUGCGGGAAAAAGAGAGGGUUUUGGAAAGAGAAGGAGAAAAACGAAAAUGAGGGAAAGAAGAGGCACCAUCAGUGUGAAAACUGACCUAACGUUAUUUAUAACUAGGUUUACUCUAUUUAUUUAUUUAUUAUUUUAUAAAAACAAACUUUAUUUUAUUCUCUAUCAAACAAAUAAAUAAAAUACCCUUUUUAUUUUCUCUCAAAUAAUUAUUUUAAUUAAUAAUUAUAUUUCCUUAUUUAUUUAUUUAUAAAAUCUCAUCAUUUUUUUUAAAAAUCUAUUUAUUUAUAAAUAAUAAUCCUUUUUAAUCUAAUUUACGAAAAUUGAGAUGUUACAAUUAUAAAUAAAACCUAUGAUUUUUAUUUAAAAUUUAUAUAUAUAUAUAUAUAUAUAUAUAUAUAUAUAUAUAAAUAUAUAAAUACAUUAGUAUAUUUAUGUUAAUCAUGUAUUUUUUACAUAUAUAAAAUUUUAUUAAACCUACGGUUUUUAUUUACAAUUUAUAUAUGUAAAUAAAUUAGUUAUUAGAUCAAAAUUAAUUAUCACAAAAUUUAUUAUGUAAAUUUACAUGUAUUCACAAACUAAUAGGCCAAUUAUGUUAUAAAAUAAUUAAUGUCGCUAUAUAUAACACUAAAAUUUAUAAUGUCGCUAUAUUCACAAGCUAAUAUCACAUUAAGUAUUAACCACACACUUAUUCAAAAGCUAAUAGGGCAAUUAUAUUAUAAAAUAAUUAAUGUCGCUAUAUAUAACACUAAAAUUUAUAAUAUAUAUUUAAUGCAUAUAUAAAUUUAAAUAAUAAAUUUAGUGACAAUUAAAUUUGAUCUAAUAAUUAAUUUAUUUACAUAUAUGAAUUAUUGUAAAUAAAACCUAUGAUUUUUAUUUAUAAUAUAUAUAUAUAUAUAUAUAUAUAUAUAUAUAUAUAUAUAUAUAUAUACAUUAGUAUAUUUAUGUUAAUAAUGUAGUUUUUUACAUAUAUAAAAUUAUAUUAAACCUACGGUUUUUAUUUACAAUUUAUAUAUGUAAAUAAAUUAAUUAUUAUAUCAAAAUUAAUUAUCAUGUAAAUUAAUUUACAUGUGCAUUAAAUAUACAUUAAAAGUUUUAAUGUUAUAUAUAACGACAUUAAUUAUUUUAUAACAUAAUUGACUUAUUAACUCAGUUCGUUAGAGUGUUGUACUAAUAUCGUGAAAGUCACAGGUUUAAUUUCUGCCUAGACAAUUAAUUUUAAAUUAAUUUGUAAAAUAUAUCUUUUAAAAAAUUAAUAAAAAAAUUGUAUGAACCACUUACGGAUUGAGUAAUCUAUAAGUCAAUUAUGAAUUUGUAAUUGAUUUAUGAAUUGUGAAUCCGUAAACCAAUUACGGAAAGACAAUAUGGGAAUUACAAAUAUUGUGCUGGGUGUACCAGAAAAACAAAUGGGGCGCGUAGCAAUUCUGAAACCAAUAAUGUUUUGGGGAAUUGCUAGGGGCACCCAGCAAGAUUGCUGGUGCACCCAACAAUUUUUUAGAAUUCCCAAAAUACCCCUUAACGUUUCCGUGGAAGAACCUUCUUCCGCAGUCAAUGUUACAACUGUGGAAGAACCUUCUUCCGUGCCAUCUCACGGAAGAACUUCUUCCGGAGGAAGCCACAGAAGAAGGUUCUUUCGUAGUUAUAAAUUACAACUACGGAAGAACCUUCUUCCGUGAGUUCUUACGGAAGAACUUAUUCCAUGAGUUAAUUUAUUUUCUCGGUUUUAAAAUUUUUGAAUUAUUUUGUAUUAGCCUAUGUUAUUUUUUAUUCGAGUUAUUAUUACAAAAUUUAGUGCAUUUUUAAUUUGGGUUAUUAUUAAAAAAUAAAAAAUAUUUAUUUAAUAUAUAUUAAAUUUUGUAAUAGUAAAAAAUUUGUGAUAGUAAAUAUUUUUUAUUUUUAAAUAAAUAUACGGAUUAAAUAUGUUUUAUUUAAUCUGGGUUACUAUUAUAAAACUUAAUGUAUACUUAAUUUGGAUUACUAUUACAAAAUUUAAUACAUUAAAUAUUUUUGUAAUAGUAACCUGAAUUAAUGCACUAAAUAUUUUUUAUUUAAUUCGGAUUACUAUUAUAAAAUUUAAUGCAUGAAAUAUUUUUGUAAUAGUAACCAGAAUUAAAUAUGCAUUAAAUAUUUUUAUUUAAUUCGGAUUGCUAUUACAAAAUUUAGUGCAUAUUUAAUUCGGGUUAUUAUUACAAAAUAAAAAAUAUUUAUUUAAUAUAUAUUAAAUUUGUAAUAGUAAAAAAAUUUGUGAUAGUUAAUAUUUUUUUAUUUUUAACUCACGGAAGAAACUUUUUUCCGCAGUUAAAGUCGCGUUUUUUAAACAAGGGCAGUUUUGUCCAUUCACAUAAUUUCUGGGUGCACCAACAAUUUUGUUGGGUGCACCUAGCAACUCCCAUGUUGUGUGUUGGACUUUUAUGGACUUUCUUAUAUUUAGGGUUUUUUAAUUGUAAUCCAUAGGCCUAGUAUAUCAACACACUUUCGUAUGAACUAGGGUUAUCAGAAAUUAAAUGUAGAAGCAGUAUUCUUUAAGCUUUCCUUUAUCGUCCACUUGCAAUUUAUCUUUCUUAGUCUAGUUAGCAGCAGAGUCUAUCAAUCUAAAUGUGAAAUGCUAUUCAGUUAUCUAAGACUGGACCACUUUAGAAGAUAAGAACGAAACAUCGUAGUCCUAAAAAUGCAUUAUUAUGGCGUCAUAUGUAAAGGUGAUUCUCACAAAAUAUUUCUCAUGCUGGUGUUGGUCAGCAUAACACAUUUUAUCUUUAAGCUUUCCUUUAUCGUUCCCUUGCAAUUUAUUUUUAGCAGCAGAAUCUAUCAAUCUAAAUGUGAAAUGCUAUUCAGUUAUCUAAGACUGAACCACUUUAGGAGAUAAGAACGAAACAUCGUAAUUCUAAAAAUGCAUUAUUAUGGCGUCAUAUGUAAAGGUGAUUCUCACAAAAUGUUUCUCAUGCUGGUGUUGGUCAGCAUAACACAUUUUUCUUCUAGAACACAGGAUAUCUAGGCAAUUCUAUCAUGAGCAUAAUGCUUUACGUAAAACAGCCAAUCAAAAACUCAAGAUAAAAUUGAAAUAAUUUCAGUUCAAGCUUCCUUCUAAGUAAUUCAUGCAUUUUCCUUUUCUUUGCUGACUUGUCGUUAAUUUUAAAUUAAUUGAAGGAAAGGGAACAAUUGAUUUGAAUUAUUAUAUUUUCUGAAGCAAAAAAUAACACUAUAUUAGUUUCCUUUAUUUUAAUAGGAAAAAAAUAAAGCUUACAAAUGUUAUCAUUGAUUUGGUUAAGGUAUCUAAAGUUCGGAAACCAAAAAACUAAAAUAAAAUGAUCUACAAUAUAAAAAAAAAAGAUACAAUACAACACUAGAAAAGAACAAUUAAAACUCAAGCAUGUUUAUUAAGUUCAAUCUUUCAGCUAUAUAUAAGUGAGAAUGUAGAGCUAAUCCAUUGAAGAUGAGCUUGACAUUACCAGCUCAUUGGCAACCUGCUCCAUGGUAGGGCGAGAUCGUGGACUUUCAGUCAAGCAGGCCAUUGCUAUCUUUGCAAUUGAUGCCACUUCCUUACCAAUUGGCUUUGUUGGAUGAGGGAGACGUGGGUCCAACUUAUCCAUCAAUGCCAUGUGAUCGAGUGUUGAGGCCACAAGGGUAGAUGGAGAUGAUCCCAAUAAAGAAGAUAUAUCAUCACCAGGGUGCUUCCCAACAAGUAUUUCCCAUGCUAGGACCCCAAAACUAUACACGUCACAUUUCUCAUUCACCUCCAUUGUGUAUGCAAGUUCUGUAACAAAAUAAAAGUGCUAUCACACGCAAAAUAGGAUUCUAGUGACAAAGGCAAAAUGUGGACAAUUGUGACUAAGAAAGGCAAACUAAAAAAUAUGAUAUCCUCAAUUUAGUAUAAAGAAAGGUAAUUAACCUGGAGCAGCAUAUCCAAAGGUUCCUACGAAUGAGGUCCAAUUGGAUGAAUCUGGAUUAAGAAACUUGGCUGUUCCAAAGUCUGAGACAUGAGCUACAUAUUCGGAAUCCAAAAGAACAUUCUUGCUUGAUAUAUCACGAUGAACAAUUCGAGGUGAGCAUUCAUGGUGCAUAUAGCACAAAGCAUUUGCUACAUCUUUAACAACAUUCACCCUCUUAUACCAAUCAAAUGCCAUUGCUUGUCCAUCAUCCUUCAGAGUCUUCUCAACACUGCCAUUCUCCA
rnacentral:lncRNA from 1 species